CCUUUCUUCCUUUUGGUGCGAGCUUGCUGUGGUUUUUGCUCUGGGUCCUCUGGGAUGGCGCCUGGCUGUGGCCGCGUGGUCUCUCACGCAGGGGCGCCGGGCGGGGGAACGCGGCCACCCUGAGUCUGGUGGAAGAUGGAUGCCUGAAGUGUAGACUGCUGCUAGCUGAAUACCAUCUGGGAGCAUAAAGGUGACCUGAAGGAUGUCCUUGGUGAGGAUUUUGAAAAUUUGAUCUUCACAAGAGUUGCCUGGAUCAUUUGAAAUUUCUGGGAGUCUGAGGAGUACUGACAUAAUUACCUGCUGGAGUCUGUAAAUACACAUUUAAGACAGUGAGGAUGUGAAUAAAUAUAUUAAUGCACUUUGGCA
rnacentral:lncRNA from 1 species